UGACAAGCGCGGCCUGUUGAUCCGCUGCAAAGCGGGUAGGAAAGUCCGGACACCGUAGGGCGGCACAGCGGCUAACGGCCGUCAUCCGUGAGGGUAGGACCAGUGCAACAGAAAGCAAGUACAGUUCGGCUGUAGUGAAAUCAGGUAAACUCUGUGCGGUGCAAUGCCAUGUAUACCGACAACCAAGGGCGGCCCGUCCAAUGUCGGGGGGUAGGCAGCUAAAGUCCGUCGGCAACGGCGGACGCAGAUAAAUAACAGGCAUCCGCUUCGGCGGAUACAGAAUCCGGCUUACAGCGCUUGUCUUUUU
rnacentral:RNase_P_RNA from 1 species